GGGUCAACUUCUCCAAGGAGAUCAUCACUCUCUCCAAGGAGGUGCGGAACCUGAAGUGGCUGGGGUUCCGAGUCCCGCUGGCGAUUGUCAACAAGGCUCACCAGGCUAACCAGCUGUACCCCUUCGCCAUCUCACUCAUCGAGAGUGUUCGCACCUACGAACGGACCUGCGAAAAGGUUGAUGAGAGACCCCAGAUCACCCUGCUGGUGGCAGGACUGAGGAAGGAUGUGCAGGCUUUACUGGCAGAGG